UAAGUUUCACAACAAGACCUGCCAUCCUCUCGUUAAUGCUAUAGAAUUCCUGUAUGUUACCAGCUAUAUUCUUAUUAAUCAGGAACCCGAGUCCUAGUUCUCGUCUCUCCGCUAAGCCCCGGUAGCACAAGACGUGCCCGCUUUUUAGCACUGUAUAUGCUUCUUGUGGCCUCCUAACUUCACUGAGCCCUAUUAUAUCCCAUUUACUGCCCUCUAAUUCCUCCAAUAGCACUGCUAGACUUGCCUCACUAGAUAACGUUCUAGCGUUAAACGUUGCCAGGUUCAUAUUCCAAUGGCGGCCUAUCCGCCAAUGGUGGUGGCUAUGAUGUUGGGCUGCUAAGCACGAGGUUGUGGGAUCGAAUCCCGGCCACAGCGGCCACAUUUCAGUGGGGGCAAAGUGUGAAAACACCCGUGCACUUAGAUUUAGGUGCACGUUAAAGAACCCCAGGUGGUCCAAAUUAUUCCGGAGUCCCCCACCAAAUCGUGAAUUUGGAACGUAAAGCCUCAUAAUUAAUUUUUUAGACACUGAAACUGAAGGUUGGUGGGCAGGUCGAAGAACAUGAUUUCUGAUGAGCAAACCUUGCUUUCCUUAUGCAGUCUAUGAAAGCACACACAACCCAGCUGCAUUUUACAUCCUCCCUUUCAGAAUUUUUAUUUCUGUUCUCUCAGUGCUCUAAAAAACUACAUAACUGGACAAAUUUAAAUAAAACAACUGGUUGCACAAUUAAUUUAGGGAGAUCCUUCUUUUCGAACAAUAUGAGUAUGAAUGUUUCUUGUUCCUUUCAGUUUCGUCUGGCAGAAGGUGUGAUUGUUUCUGCAAGCCAAGCAGCGAAAAUAUUUUUAAAAAAACCAACGCUUGUAUGCAGACACCGCUCAAGCGAUAUGGGGCACAGAUGGCCUUGCAAACAGGAGUGUGAGUGGCAUUGCUGCACACAAGUAAAGAGCAGCUGGGGAGCUGCCGAAGCAGCCACUUACCCCUAAAAAAGUGAACGUUGUGACAGCCACAGUCCGCUAAUGGGGUCAGUUGAAAGGAGAAGACACCACUGCAACUGUGGGCGCAAUAACACAACUCCUUGUCCGAGAAAACCCAAGAGGUGAGAAAAUCUCACAAGCGGCUGGCGCUAUCCAAGGGAGUGGAAAAGGUCGAUCCGUAGGAUUUUAAUAAAUGAAUUUUACGAAUGAA